rnacentral:tRNA from 1 species
GGUGGAUUGCCGGAGCAGACGAACGGACCCGACUGUAAAUCGGGCGCAUUUUGCCACGCGGGUGCGAAUCCCGCAUCCACCAC